AUACAAGCAGGGAGAGAUGCUGGGAGAGACGAUGUGUAGGAAGAAGUCCCCGCCCCAGCCAGGCCAGGACUCAGGAGAGAAAGUUUUUCUUCAAGACACAAUGUCACUAAGCUCGAGGCUAGACUUGGCUGGCAUGGAAGGCACAGGACAAGCCUGGCAAAAAAGCAGAUCACCCUUCCUCACGGUACUGCAGCAUGAGGCGAGCACUCGAAGAUAAACCUAAAAAGCUGAUAGGUACUUUCUCAGCCUUGUUCUCGGCAGUGGGAGAGAGCAUGCUGAUUGAGGGCUUCGCGUAAGUGCAUUUUAUAUACUUGUGUGAUGUCCUUUCAGUGUCUUGAGAAAAGUUCUCACUAUAUAGCUGGUGCUAUUCUCAAAUGUGUAAGCUUUUCUGUCUCAGCCUUCCAAGUGCUGGAAUUACAAUGUAUACUAUCAUACACAGUUUAUGCAUUUUGAAAAAUGAGUUCUU